rnacentral:rRNA from 1 species
CCUACGGGCGGCAGCAGUGAGGAAUAUUGGUCAAUGGGCGUGAGCCUGAACCAGCCAAGUCGCGUGAGGGAUGAAUGUUCUAUGGAUCGUAAACCUCUUUUAUAAGGGAAUAAAGUGUGGGACGUGUCCUUUUUUGUAUGUACCUUAUGAAUAAGGAUCGGCUAACUCCGUGCCAGCAGCCGCGGUAAUACGGAGGAUCCGAGCGUUAUCCGGAUUUAUUGGGUUUAAAGGGUGCGUAGGUGGCCUUUUAAGUCAGUGGUGAAAGUCUGCGGCUCAACCGUAGAAUUGCCGUUGAUACUGGCAGGCUUGAGUACGUUUGAGGCAGGCGGAAUGCGUGGUGUAGCGGUGAAAUGCUUAGAUAUCACGCAGAACCCCGAUUGCGAAGGCAGCUUGCCAAGCCGUGACUGACGCUGAUGCACGAAAGUGUGGGGAUCAAACAGGAUUAGAUACCCCAGUAGUC